rnacentral:rRNA from 1 species
CACGUAGGGGGCAAGCGUUGUCCGGAUUUAUUGGGCGUAAAGAGCGCGCAGGCGGUCGUUCAAGUCGCGUGUGAAAGCCCCCGGCUCAACUGGGGAGGGUCACGCGAUACUGAUCGACUCGAAGGCAGGAGAGGGAAGUGGAAUUCCCGGUGUAGUGGUGAAAUUCGUAGAUAUCGGGAGGAACACCGGGUGGCGAAGGCGGGUCUCUGGGCAGUAACUGACGCUGAGGAGCGAAAGCGUGGGGAGCGAACAGG